AUUGAACGCUGGCGGCAGGCCUAACACAUGCAAGUCGAGCGGAUGAAGGGAGCUUGCUCCUGGAUUCAGCGGCGGACGGGUGAGUAAUGCCUAGGAAUCUGCCUGGUAGUGGGGGAUAACGUCCGGAAACGGGCGCUAAUACCGCAUACGUCCUGAGGGAGAAAGUGGGGGAUCUUCGGACCUCACGCUAUCAGAUGAGCCUAGGUCGGAUUAGCUAGUUGGUGGGGUAAAGGCCUACCAAGGCGACGAUCCGUAACUGGUCUGAGAGGAUGAUCAGUCACACUGGAACUGAGACACGGUCCAGACUCCUACGGGAGGCAGCAGUGGGGAAUAUUGGACAAUGGGCGAAAGCCUGAUCCAGCCAUGCCGCGUGUGUGAAGAAGGUCUUCGGAUUGUAAAGCACUUUAAGUUGGGAGGAAGGGCAGUAAGUUAAUACCUUGCUGUUUUGACGUUACCAACAGAAUAAGCACCGGCU
rnacentral:rRNA from 1 species